rnacentral:rRNA from 1 species
UGUAAGCGUAUACCAAAGUUGUUGCAGUUAAAACGCUCGUAGUCGGAAUUUGGCAGUUCCGGAUGUGUGCACGUCGUGUGCGCACUUCGCGGGGAUUGCUUUUGUGGUCUUGCGUAGGAUGAGGCACUUUUAUUAGUGAACGUCCUCACGCAACCACUUUUUACUGUGAGAAAAUCAGAGUGCUCAAAGCAGGCAUUUGCCGUGAAUGUAUUAGCAUGGAAUAAUAGAAUAGGACUUGGUUCUAUUUUGUUGGUUUGUUGGGACUGAGUAAUGAUUAAGAGGGACAGUUGGGGGCAUUUGUAUUUCGGUGCUAGAGGUGAAAUUCUUAGAUUACCGAAAGACACACUGCUGCGAAAGCGUCUGCCAAGGAUGUUUUCAUUGA